UUGCUUGCUUCUGCAGCACAUAGACUGAAGUUGGAACAAUAUAGAGAUUAGCGUGGUUCCUGCACAAGGAUGAUACACAGGUGCGUGAAGAGUUCCAUAUUAAA
ensembl:snRNA U6 U6 spliceosomal RNA